rnacentral:sRNA from 2 species
CGUUGCUUUAGCAACACGCCAAUGUCCCGGCAAUCUGAGAGGGACGCCUUCGGGUGAUUGCACUGCCAAAACCGUCAUGACCUGAGAGACGGAGCCUUCGGGCGGUAACUUCGUUUAACCUUUGAGAACGAAGAUCGCGAUGCGAUAAAGGUCCUU